CGUGGAUGGAGUGGUGCUGACAAACUGUUUUUAAACCCCUGGGGGCCCCAGCUAGCUGAGCAUCCAACUCAAAGUUCACACUUCAAACACUCACUGCCAUCUGCUAAGCAAAACGAAGCAGAACAUGGCUGCCGGCUGGGCAGAGGUGACAGUUAAGUGCCUCGUGCAUUACUUCAAGCAACCGGCAAAAGCGAAACUCGCCGUGAUUAUAGUAGUACCAUUUCUCCUUCUGUGUUAUGGACUUGGCAACGUCCAUAGCACGAUAGUUCAUGACAACAGAGAGGAUCUUCGCUCACUGCUCGACUUCAAGCAGGGUAUCACCAGCGAUCCAUAUGGAGCCUUGGGCAACUGGAAUACAAGCACCCACUUCUGUCAUUGGAAUGGAGCGAACUGCACCUUAACUCGACCAUGGCGUGUCACGGUGCUCAAUCUCACCAUGCAAAACUUGGUUGGCCAAAUCUCCCCGUCUCUUGGAAACCUAACCUUUCUUAGCACGCUUGAUCUAUACCAAAACCUUUUGCAGGGAAUCAUACCCGAUACGCUUACAAACUGUUCCUAUUUGAACUAUUUAUUCCUACUUUACAACAACCUUACGGGUGUGAUUCCCACUAGCAUAGGCUCUCUUUCAAAACUACUAGUCAUGAACUUUCACAGAAAUAAUCUCAUUGGUGUCAUCCCGCCUGCGAUAGGAAACAUUAGUACUUUAAAAGGACUUGACCUUGGAGAAAAUCAAUUGAACGGGCCAAUUCCCGACAAGCUUUGGCAGCUA